UUCGGAUUGCAGUCUGCAACUCGACUGCAUGAAGCUGGAAUCGCUAGUAAUCGCGGAUCAGCAUGCCGCGGUGAAUACGUUCCCGGGCCUUGUACACACCGCCCGUCACACCAUGGGAGUCGGAAAUGCCCGAAGCCAGUGACCCAACCUUUAAGGAGGGAGCUGUCGAAGGCAGGUCUGGUAACUGGGGUGAAGUCGUAACAAGGUACC
rnacentral:rRNA from 1 species